rnacentral:tRNA from 1 species
GGGCCUGUGGUCUAGCGGCUAUGACACCGCCUUUACACGGCGUUGAUCGUGGGUUCGAGUCCCACCGGGCCCACCA